rnacentral:rRNA from 1 species
UACGUAGGGUGCAAGCGUUAAUCGGAAUUACUGGGCGUAAAGCGUGCGCAGGCGGUUAUGCAAGACAGAGGUGAAAUCCCCGGGCUCAACCUGGGAACUGCCUUUGUGACUGCAUGGCUAGAGUGCGGCAGAGGGGGAUGGAAUUCCGCGUGUAGCAGUGAAAUGCGUAGAUAUGCGGAGGAACACCGAUGGCGAAGGCAAUCCCCUGGGCCUGCACUGACGCUCAGGCACGAAAGCGUGGGGAGCAAACAGG